ensembl:lincRNA
GACCUUUACCUGAGCUGUGAAAAUGUUGCAUUGGAGAUGAAACAGACAAAAGCAAAUUCUACUGAGUGACGCUUCUGGCACCUCUGAAUGCUCUCGUGUCCCAUGUGGGAUAAAUGACAUUUCUGCAAUCUUAACAACGUCGGCGUUCAUUACUUAAUAGGCAUGCCUCUUUGACGUGAAGACACAAGCUUCAACUCUAGCCCAAAACUCUGACAAAAUUAGAUUUAGUGAGACGUUGUCUUUUAUUACCAGUGAGAAAACAGAUGGGGAUUCCUUUCCGUACUCAUACAUACAAGACAUAAAGGCUUUAAAAUUCUGUGGAAACACGUCAAAUGGCAAUAAUAACACUUCUAUUAGAUCAUUGCCAAACUCAAAAGAGAAACAUGUGAAUCUGUCGUACGAGCAGAAAGAUACAUACUCAAUUGGAGCUCGUUUUGGAACUGCUUUACCAGUGUCAACAUUUCAAACCAUUUCUUUGGCAAAAACAAAACAAACACACGAAAACAAAAACGCCGUGAAACUUUGGCUCGAGAACACCUGCAGGUGGCUGGAGCAUGUGCCCCGGGCCCGGCUCUGCUACGCGCUCAGCUGUCCCCGCAGAUGGCGACGCGUGUCCGCAUCCUGAGCAAACAGUGUGCGCUCCUGAGCCAAGCGCAGAGGGAGACCCGGGAGCUUCUGCGCAUGCUCGCCGGAGUCGCUUCAGGUCAGGCCCGCCAGCGCCAAAUGGGAUUUAAUCACGUUCCGUGCAGGUUGGUGUUCAAGGCGCAAGUUCGCAGACAGGAAGAAAGCCAUCUGCAGGGACUCUCCUCUACCUCCCUUCCCUGCAGAGGUCUCCUGUGACCACGUGAGGUCGCCUUCCAAGGCCACAGCGCCCAGGGUAUUCAAAGGCUGCGCCUCAUCCCUGUGAGGGUACAUGGCACAUUUGGAUGCGGCCAUGGGCACCUGGGGGCAAAGUGGAGCCGUGGAAAGGACUGGAGCACUUCAGGGAACAGUCCGUGUCUCACCUUGCCGGGACCCAGGCUACCCCUGGACUCUGGUCGUUGCUCCCUCAGCUGCACCCCACAGAGCUGAGAUUCACCCAGCCCUGGGCAGGAGCCAGGCAGGAGCUGCCAUCGUAGAGCGCAGGCGACCCCCCUGCACGGCCCAGGAGUGGUGCUUUUCACUGGUGACUUCACUCCACCCUCAGGACGUUCUCCUGGGGUAAGCAGGACAAGACCGAAGCCUGUGGGACCCGAACAGCGUAAUGAACGGACACUUCCGAAAAUCCAUAUUCAGUAAGCACUGCUCCACAUUUAUUAAGUGAGGAUUGGGAAACUGCCUUUCUGGUUUUUCUGUCUAGAGCAAGGGAUUAAUGUGACAUUAGAAAUGUUAAUUUUUACCGAACAUGCAUUUGUUAAAAAGAAUAAUGUGGAAUCACCUCCAAUGGAAAGAAAAACCCCUUUCCCCCUCCUUACGUCCUGAGAUAGCCAAUGUAUGGUGGGGCAUUUCUGGGACCCGUGAGGAUGACUUGGAUAACACAGCACUCAGGUUGAUGGAACAUGUGGAAAAGGUCACCCUCUCCGGGGUGGGUGGGCAUCAUUCCGUCCUUCGAGGGCCCAUUAGGACAAAGACCAGGAAGGAAAGCCUUGCUCUUGUGGCUUGAGCUAGGACACUCGGCCCCGCCUGUCUUGGCAUCAUUAGUGCACCUGAUUCUCAGGCCUUAGCAUUUGGACCAGAGCUCACACUGCAAGUUCUCUCUCUCUCUUUUUUUGUUUUCUGGUACCGGGACUCAAACUCACGACCUUGCACUUGCCAGGCAGGCGCUGUGCCGCUCAGCUAAAUCCCCAGCCCCUACUGCAGGUUCUCUUGGUGCUCAGGAUUUUAGACCCAGACUGGAACUAUAGCACCAGCUCUCCUGGGGCUCACGCUUGCUGAUGGCAGAUCAUGGGCCUUCUCAGAAUCCCAUUCCUUAAAAUCAGUCAAUCAAUCAAUUAAUCAGUCAGUCCUCUUGGUUCUUUUUCUCUGGUGCUAUGGUUUGUGUCUAGAUGUCUCCCCAAAGCCUCAUGCAGUCCUGGGGCGGCUUCUAGAGUUUAUGAUUGAUUCAUGGGCGUGGCUGUGAGUGUGUGAGUGCUACACCUGGAAUUAUGGGUGUGAGCGCUACACCUGGCCGGGGCAGGUAGUCUGCAUACAGUGUAAGGGAGGGAAAGAGGCUGCUUGCCGCUGCUCCUCCCCUUUUGCUCUUGUUGCUUUUGCUAUCUUCUGCCGCCAUGAACUGUUGCCCUGUGCCAUGUGCCACCUGCCUUGGAGCCAGCCGAGUAUGAACUGAAAUCUCCACAGACUGUGAGCUAAAUAAACCUUUCCGUCCUUAAUUUGGGUGUCAUGUAUUUUCUAUAUCCAGAGAACUCUGACCAAUGUACCUCCCCCAUUCUACUUCCCAGAAACAACUAAUUCUAACUUUCAAAUUGUGUUCCUUUGAGAGCAACAUGAAUAACUGUGGGCAGAGACUAGACUCCAGCAGAUUGCAAAUAUGGGUGCAGAUCUCCCAGCCCUUUGCGAUGCAACCUUGCUGUUCCUCUCAUCAAGAGGUGGAAGCUCUCUCAGCGCUCUUGGACUCAGGGCUGAACUGAGACCUCCUUCAUCCAGUAGCGUCAGGCAGGAGGCAUAUUUUACAAAUCCAGAGGUGAGAGUUUAAAGGCCUCGAAGCCUGUAUCAGUCAGUGUUUACCAGAGAAACAGAUUUAAUGCAAGAUAUAAGAAUACACAAGAUUGGCUGACCGUGGUCAAGUGUGGGACAGUGCAAAGAGACUGUCUGUGUGCUGAGAUCUGAAGGAUCCAGUUGAAGGCCUGGAGCUCACUGCAGUGUCCCGUCCGAGUCCAUAUCAGGAGGCUGAAGGGUCUGCACUGGAAGCCCGCAGACAACGUCCAAGGUGAAGGUGAAGCCUGGAGCUCCUCUGAAGAAGCAGAAGCCAGCCUUCUUCAUUUCCCUUUGAUUCCACUCAGGUGACAAACCUACUGGUUGCUGCCAUGCACGCCCAGGGUGGGCCUUCUGUCUUCAGUAAAUCCCUUCAGCCACGCCCAGAACUGCGCUGAUCCCAUCUUGUUGGGCGUUUCUUACUCAAAUUGACACAGCUGUUAACUCUCACAGGGCCUCUGCUUUUUGACUGUGGCAUGCUGUCUCGAGGCUCUGUUUAAAUGGCUAUGGAUGAAAGGGGCCAAGUAGAGGAGAACAGAGGUGCCCCAGCUGCCAGGCAGUGCCAGGCAGACCUUCCUGGAGUGAAAUCCCAAGAGUGCUGUGUGUGUGGAGUAGUCUCGCCUCAUUCAUCCUCAUCUGACCCCGUCACAUCUCCCACGGGACAAAAAUUACAUGAACAUUUUUUUUUUAAAGUUUCACUUCAUUUUUUAUUCACAGAUUUUUUUUGCCAGAGUGAGCCCAGCCACUCCACACAAACUCUGACGGUCUAAAGCUUUCCCAUAUUCCUUACAUUCACAGUGUUUCUUUCCAAUGUGAAAUUUUCUGUACUCAGAUUAGAAUAGUCAGAUUUCCUCAGCUUCCUCAGAUACCCUGCAUUUGUCAGAUGAAUCUCUAUUGUGUUAUGUGUGUCUUUGCUUCUUAGAAGACAAAUGGAGCUUUCCCAUACUCUUUAGUCAUAGGAAUCCUACACAACACGAGUGCUUUCAUGCCUCAGAACUGCACUUGGAGAACCAAAGGCCUUUCUACAAAAUUUACUUAUAAGGCCCAUCUCCAGUGUGCCUUAUCAUGUGUCCUUGCAGGCCCGAGAGAGAAAUGUAGGCUUUCCCACACUGCUCACAUUUGUAGGGUUUCUCUCCAGUGUGAGUCCUUUCAUGUUUUCGAACUGAAGUGGAACAGAUGAAGGCUUUCCCACAGCGCUUACAUGAAUACGGCUUCUCUCCAGUGUGUGUUCUUUCAUGUUUUCUCAGGGCACUGGGGGAGUUAAGGAUUUUCCCACAUUCCUUACAUUUAUGAGGACCACCUCUAGUGUGCCUCAUCGUAUGUCCCUGAAGGCCUGAAAGGGAAAUGAAGGCUUUUCCACACUCCUUACAUGUGUAAGGUUUCUCUCCAGUGUGGGUUCUUUGGUGUCUUUGAACUGAACCUACACACCUGAAGGCUUUCCCACACUGGUUACAUUGAAAGGGUUUCUCUCCAGUGUGAAUCCUCUCGUGGAUUCUAAGUGAACUGGGGUACUGCAAGCCUUUCACACACACAGAACAUUUAUGUGGUCCUCCUCCAGCAUGUGUGAUGACAUACCCUCCGAGGCUGGUGACGGGAAUGAAGGCUUCCUCAUUUCCUUGGCAUUCGUGGGACUUCUCUCCAGUGUGACUCCUAUCAUUAAUCUAGAAAGGGUAGUAGGGACAUGUGAUGGGGUCAGAUGAGGAUGAAUGAGGCAAGACUACUCCACACACACAGCACUCUUGGGAUUUCACUCCAGGAAGUGUUUUACGGGUCCAGACAUCUUGGCCUGGCCACUCACUGUCAUCCACCCAGAAAAACCCAUGUCCAAGAAGGAACUGCCCAGCUAGUCUACCCAAUUAUGAGAAAUUGAACAACGUGGGUGUUGAGCAUGCUCCAUUUAUCUGGUUUAGGCAUUGUGCGUUAAUCUCUUUCCAUGACAAAUGAAGAUUUAGAUCAUUGCUCCACCCUCUUCUGCACACCCCAUCGUGACUCAUCACCCUUGCAAUCUCGAAAUAGUAAACUGGGACACCACGUGCUGACUCUGCUUUUUAAGGGGAAAACACUGCCUCUAACCCCCUUCUUUCCACUGGGCCAUGCCCUUCUACCCCCCAGUUUUUUUAGGUGUGACUUUUUCUUUCCUUUUUUUUUAAAAAAGCCCAAUUAUAAAAAAAAUUGUACAAAAAUCGUAAGUGUAAAACAAGUUUCUGCCAAGUGAACACUAAGCAGCAGUUAGAUGAGAAAGAGAACUUGAUACCACUCGCAGGUCCCUGUCCUCCUUCCACUUGCAGGUUGAUUUUUCUCAAGUG